rnacentral:rRNA from 1 species
UACGAAGGGGGCUAGCGUUGCUCGGAAUCACUGGGCGUAAAGGGUGCGUAGGCGGGUCUUUAAGUCCGGGGUGAAAUUCUGGAGCUCAACUCCAGAACUGCCUUUGAUACUGAAGAUCUUGAGUUCGGGAGAGGUGAGUGGAACUGCGAGUGUAGAGGUGAAAUUCGUAGAUAUUCGCAAGAACACCAGUGGCGAAGGCGGCUCACUGGCCCGAUACUGACGCUGAGGCACGAAAGCGUGGGGAGCAAACAGG